rnacentral:snRNA from 1 species
GGAUGUGAGGGAUAUCUGGCUGCGACAUCUGUCACCCUACUGAUGGCUAGAACUGAAUUCAGCUGAUCUGGCUGGCUAAAGCAGGUGUCCCUUUCCUCCCUUAUUUCUUCAGGUGUGUCCCUCCCAAAGCUGUGCAUUCAGUCAAAGAUGACAACCUUCCCUGAUAGAGGAGGAUUAUUGUUCAGUCAAGGGUGUACAAGUAGCUGUGCCCUCCUGCUACACCCUCCAAACAGGUUUUCCAGAAGUAGUCUUUACUAGGUGUCGUGGUGCACACCAGGUGGAGGCAGGAGGAUCAAAAGUUCAAUGCCACCCUCAGCUUCAUAGCU